GUGUCAGGGUCCUGGGACUGGGCGACCCAGGAUCCCUGAGCAGUCAUGUAUUUUAUUAUUAUUAUUAUUAUUAUUAUUAUUGUUGUUGUGUAUUUUGGUGUUGCUCCCCCUUCCCUGUGCUAGUGUGUAUGUGUGUGUGGGUGGCUGAGCACUUGUUUAUAGGCGGCGUCAGGCCUGGAGGGUGUGGCCCUGCAAGGGGACUGGCCACACCCGAAGCCACACACCUGCUGCUGAUCAGGCCUCGUCGGGGGAGCUACUUAAGAGAGUCUUGGAGCUCCCACCGACGCGGGAUCAUUGCAUGAGACUCCACGGAGAGCGUGGAAGGCACGGAGAGCAGCGAGCACCGGGGGGUGCUGACACGGGAGCAGAGAGCACACGGACUAUUCACGGGAGACACGACACGGGAGUCUGGGAGAACACGGG
ensembl:lncRNA